GUGCCAGCAGCCGCGGUAAGACAGAGGGUGCAAACGUUGCUCGGAAUUACUGGGCGUAAAGCGCGUGUAGGCGGGUCGGAAAGUCGGGCGUGAAAUCCCCAGGCUCAACCUGGGAACUGCACUCGAAACUUCCGAUCUAGAGUGGUGGAGAGGGAAGUGGAAUUCCUGGUGUAGAGGUGAAAUUCGUAGAUAUCAGGAGGAACACCAGUGGCGAAGGCGGCUUCCUGGACACCAACUGACGCUGAGACGCGAAAGCGUGGGGAGCAAACAGGAUUAGAAACCCUUGUAGUCC
rnacentral:rRNA from 1 species